GACUCGUCUACUGGAGAGAGGUCGCAAGACCCACCGAAGGGGCAACGCGCACGGAUGAGCGCGCAAACUCUCAGGUAACCGGACAGAGGGAGGGAC
rnacentral:ncRNA from 1 species